GGGUCAUAAGAUGGCUCAAUGUGAACCUCAUAAGUUGAAUUUCGGUUGUACGGAUGGGAUGGAAGACAAUACGUACGAGCGGGUGCCGCAAGGUCAAUCCUAUUAUUUUUCGUGUAUGGAUGGGACACAAGAGAGCGCAUUGCAAAUGGUGGACAAAAUUGGAAGCUCAUCUUUCAGUGAAUCAGGAAUGGCGAAUAGGUUUUGAACAGAUUCGGAACAGGUUAUAUUUGAUUCUGAAUAGGUUUUGAACAGAUUCGGAACAAAUUAUAUUUGGUUUUGAAUAGGUUUUGAACAGGUUCUGAAGAGGUUAAUUUCAGAUUUUGAACAGAUUCUGAACAGGUUUUGAACAGGUUCUGAA